ensembl:lncRNA
GUAAGUAUCUACUGAUUUUUCACCCUUAUUGAUUACAGGCUUCCUGAGAGCAAGGACUGUGUCUUGGAUUCAUUACUCUGUCUCUCGCACCUUCAACUGUCCUUGGAAGCCACACUACCAGCCCAUACCCUGAAUCCACGUGAAUUAGAAAGAAAGGACACUCCUGCCUCAAAUUACUAGAACGUCACCACCUGUGACCAGAGUGUUCCUUGUAAAACUGCUUGGUAAUUGUGAAGUAAGUGACAUCCUCGGGUGGCAGGCAACCUGGGAGCAUGAUUUGCUCCAUUAUAUAAACAUCACCCCUGAGCUGACAAGGUUGUUACUAGUUUCCUUUGCUCUACACGCAACAAGCCAAAUGCUGAGAAACCAAGGUUUACAACCGAGAAAGAGUUUAUGCACAAGGCCGUUAAACAAGGAAACGGAAAACAAGACUUAGCUCUGCUUCCCUGAAGCCAAGAGGGUUGCAAUGUUUAUGGAAUGAGCAGGGAUGAGGAGGGUGGUCCUCAGUUCAGUUCAGUCGCUCAGUCGUGCCCGACUCUUCACGAACCCAUGAAUCGCAGCAUGCCAGGCCUCCCUGUCCAUCACCAACUCCCGGAGUCUACUCAAACUCACGUCAACUGAGUUCGUGAUGCCAUCCAGCCAUCUCAUCCUCUGAUGUCUCCUUCUCCUCCUGCCCCCAGUCCCUCCCAGCAUCAGGGUAUUUUCCAAUGAGUCAACUCUUCGCAUGAGGUGGCCAAAGUAUUGGGGAAAGGUGAUUCGUGCAGAAAGAGGUGAGGUCAUCUGCGCAGGCGCAUUGGGUUGCUCACCUCUGCAUAUUUUAAAUGGAGGUGCCCAGAAGGAUCUGAGGGUGGAGUUUUCUAGUCCUCUGCCUUCCAAAGGCCAUUCAUGAGACACCACUCAGGUCAGUUUUAGGAUCAGCGGUCCCAACUGGUCUUAUCCAGCUCGCAGUGGAGAAGAGCUGACUCCGAGUUCCUAUAGAACAGCUGGGCUAUGGGAAGCUGAGCAGACAUUUUGGCUGGUUUCCAAACAUACAUCAUUGCUUGUCUGGUAUGAGGAAUGCCAUCUGUGCUCUAUGGAAAUCCUUUUUUAAAAAUGGACUGCUAAUUAUACUCCAGGCAGGUGCUGUUAGAGUGAAAUCAGGUGCAGUGUGCUCAGUCACGUCUGACUCCACGACCCCAUGGACUGUAACCCGCCAGGCUCCUCUGUCCAUGGGAUUUCCCAAGCAAGAAUACUGGAGUGGAUUGUCAUUUCCUCCUCUAGGGGAUCUUCCUAACCCAGGGAUGGAAACUGCAUCUCCUGUCUCCUGCAUUGGCAGGCAAUUCUUUGUCCCUGAGCCACUUGGGGGCGCCUCCUUAUAGACUGCCAGGCAAGUAGAAGAGCCUCGGUGAAGAGUCACUGAAGAAAUAAAUACCAUUGAAAUAAAAUGAUUUUAGUUGAGAAAUAGAGGAAGCAAAGCAUCAGAAACUCUAAGCAGCUUUUUCAGAGUUGCAUUAGAAUCGCUAAAUGGUUUGAAAUGUACCAAAGGCUCCGGCCAAGCCCAGAGCCUGGGAAUUCAUGUCAUGCCCAGGUGUGGUACCUGUCAACUCUGUGUGACAGCUCAGCAUUAUGACUUUUGUUUUCUAAAUUAGUCUGCUCCUAUUUGCUUUCAAGGAAAGGUCUUUAUGUCUGAUCCUUGAACAGUCUUCCAGAAUAAUAAUGGCAAUGUCUGUUUCAUCUCUGAUUAACUACUGGCCGAUUCUCCACAGCUCUUUCCUGAAGGAUGCUACAGCUCUGCAAAAGGCAUUCUAUGGACUUCGAGGGCCCAAGUAAAAGUGAAAGUUGUUCAGUUGUGUCUGACUCUUUGUGACCCCAUGGACUAUACAGUUCAUGGAAUUCUCCAAGCCAGAAUACUGAAGUGGGUAGCCGUUCCCUUCUCCAGGGUAUCUUCCCAAUCCAGGGACUGAACCCAGGUCUCCCACAUUGUAUGCAGAUCCUUUACCAGCUGAGCUACCAGGGAGGCCCAAUACCGGAGUGGGUAGCCUAUCCCUUCUCCAGCAGAUCUUCCCCACCCAGGAGUGGAACCAGGGUCUCCUGCAUUGCAGGCAGAUGCUUUACCAGCUGAGCUACAUGGAAAGCCCAUCUCAGGGCCCAAAUUUCCCCUAAAAAAGCUUGCAGGAAAUUGAUACCAGGGAUAGUAGCUGUUAUAUUUCACAUUCUUACAACCUCCAGGAAUCUGGCUGCCUGAAUUUUAUCAUGUAGCCUGUUAGGGAGUACGAUUCAAACAGGCUUUGAUUUAGCAUCGCCUUUGAAGCUUCCCCAGGCAACCUGGCUUAGUCAUGAAGGUCUAAACCGCGCAUAUUCCAUUUUCUGGUAAAUAUGUCAGUGCCACAUACGUAAAAUUUUAAGUAUAAUGCACGUACCCCUAACCUAUAGAUGCUGGCUAAAAAUGAAGCUUUUGAUUUAGCGUUCUCUGUACUGAGUCCAUACUACCCUUAGUAGCCAGACUAAUAGUAAAUGUCCUAUAAAUCUCUAAAAAUAGACCACUGCCAAUUUUGAUAGUCUGCAAAUAGUUGGAAAAACAGUAUGAGUCACUUUUUCAAGGAUGUUCUCUUUUUUUGUUAGCUUAAUAUUCCAUGAUAAGGUUACAUGACAAAAGUAAAUUGCAUAGGCUCAGUUCUGAAUAGGAUUGCAAAUCUAAUAAGUGGCUGCUUAUUUCACGUUGUUCUGUCUGUAGCUUCUCUCCAACUUGCACUUCACGAGUUGUGUUUAGUUGAGGUCCAGGAUUCAGAAACUCAAGCAGGAAGCAUCUGGGAAUUCUCUGCUUUGAAGUGUGCAUGGGUUAGAAAUAACCUGGAGAAGUGAGAACACCACUUGCUUUCCAGGUGGGCUACAUUUCUGAUCCUACUCAAGUUUGAUGGAUUUCAUUACAUCUUCUAGAUAUUUCCAUAACUAAAUGGUUUUAAUGUGAGGCAUUCUGAAGUUAGUAGGUGGAGAAAUUCCAAGGUUUUUUUUUUUUUUAACUUUUUAAUUUAUACUGCUUUUUAAAUUAUGGUUGUUGUUGGAAUCAGGCAUCAAUAUUUCCGUUUUCACCACCCAGGAGGGUCAAUGUGACUAUUUUCUGCCUCCUUUUUGCUGCCCCCUUUCCAGUUCUUCCUGCUAAGGCACUGAGAACAUUGUAUCCUCAGGGUGGGCUCCAGUGGUUGUCAAUAACAAAACUGCAAGCUCUUCAAAGUUAGGCUCUUUAUCUUUGCACCUUUCAUUCCUGGAGGUUGUAGGAAUGUGAAACAUAAAAGCUAAGCAUAAAAUUAAUUUUUAAUUUUUAUUAAUAAACAAAAUUAAUAUCACUGGUGUUAAUUUUCUGAUGGUCAAAAAAGUGUUGUAUUUACCUUCAUCAUAGUUCUCUUCUACUUUGGUUGCUUUUGAAAUUAUAAAUAUGACCUUGAAUAAUUUAAGUACUCUUUUGGAACCCCAGUUUUCUCAUUUGUAAAAUGAAAUAAAAAUAUGGACAUCAGAAGUUAAGGAUUAAACAGUGUAAUACAAUAUUAGGUCAACCUUAGUC